rfam:Thermosinus carboxydivorans Nor1 ctg9, whole genome shotgun sequence.
GGUCAAGCUAGGAAGGGCAUACGGUGGAUGCCUAGGCGCCAAGAGCCGACGAAGGACGCGGUAAGCUGCGAAAAGCCACGGGGAGUCGCAAGCAGGCGUAGAUCCGUGGAUGUCCGAAUGGGGGAACCCGGCGGUGGUAAUGCACCGUCAUCCAUCGUAAGAUGGAAGGGAACCCGGGGAACUGAAACAUCUAAGUACCCGGAGGAAAAGUAAUCAAACGAGAUUCCCUAAGUAGCGGCGAGCGAAAGGGGAGGAGCCCAAACCGGUUGCGCUAUGCGCAACCGGGGUUGUGGACCAACAUAAGGACUGGCGAGGUCUAGUCGAACUACCUGGAAAGGUAGGCCGCAGAAGGUAAAAGCCCUGUAGGCGAAAGGCUGAGCCAGCCGGUUGGGAUCCAGAGUACCACGGGAUACGUGGAGUCCUGUGGGAAGCAGGGGGGACCACCCUCCAAGGCAAAAUACUCCUUGGCGACCGAUAGCGCAUAGUACCGUGAGGGAAAGGUGAAAAGCACCCCGGGAGGGGAGUGAAAGAGGACCUGAAACCGUAUGUCUACAAGCAGUCGGAGACUAUAAGUCGACGGCGUGCCUAUUGAAGAAUGAACCGGCGAGUUACAGCAGCCAGCGAGGUUAAGCAGAAAAUGCGGAGCCGAAGCGAAAGCGAGUCUGAAGAGGGCGAGAAAGUUGGCUGUUGUAGACCCGAAACCGCAGUGAUCUAUCCAUGGCCAGGGUGAAGCGCAGGUAACAAUGCGUGGAGGCCCGAACCGGUGGGCGUUGAAAAGUCCUCGGAUGAGUUGUGGAUAGGGGUGAAAUGCCAAUCGAACGCGGAGAUAGCUGGUUCUCCCCGAAAUAGCUUUAGGGCUAGCCUCAAGAAAGUGAGUGCAGGCGGUAGAGCACUGAUAGGGCUAGGGGCCGUAAGGUUACCGAACCUUGUCAAACUGCGAAUGGCUGCACUUAGAGCUUGGGAGUCAGACUACGAGUGAUAAGAUCCGUAGUCAAGAGGGAAACAGCCCAGACCAUCAGCUAAGGUCCCGAAUGCCGUGCUAAGUGGCAAAGGAUGUGGCGCUACAAAAACAACCAGGAUGUUGGCUUAGAAGCAGCCAUCAUUCAAAGAGUGCGUAAUAGCUCACUGGUCGAGUGGCGCUGCGCCGAAGAUGUCCGGGGCUAAAGCACGGAACCGAAGCUAUGGAAUUGAGAGGUGCAUCUCACCUCUCAAUUGGUAGGGGAGCGUUCUUACCGGGUAGAAGGUUUUCUGGAAGGGGAGCUGGACUGGUAAGAAGUGAGAAUGCCGGUAUGAGUAGCGAAAAGACAGGUGAGAAUCCUGUCCACCGAAAGCCUAAGGGUUCCUGAGCAACGAUCGUCGACUCAGGGUAAGUCGGGACCUAAGCCGAGGCGGAGAAGCGUAGGCGAUGGACAACGGGUAAACAUUCCCGUACCGCCCGAAGUCGUUUGAGCGAAGGAGUGACGCAGGAGGUAAGGCAAGCGCGAGGAUGGAAAGUCGCGUCUAAGCCGGUAGGGUGCAGUGCAGGCAAAUCCGCACUGCGAGAGCCUGAGAGGUGAAGGGGAGCUGAGGGGAGACCCUUGGCGAAGUUGCCUGGGCCAGACUGCCGAGAAAAGCUUCUAGCGAGACGGAGGGCGCCCGUACCGGAAACCGACACAGGUAGGCGGGGAGAGGAUCCUAAGGUGCGCGGGAGAACCCUCGUUAAGGAACUCGGCAAAAUGUCCCCGUAACUUCGGGAGAAGGGGAGCCCAAGCCCGUGAAGGCAGGAAGCGGCCGGAGCGGGAGUGGGUCGCAGAGGAGAGGCCCAAGCGACUGUUUACCACAAACACAGGUGCCUGCUAAAGCGAAAGCUGACGUAUAGGUGCUGACACCUGCCCAGUGCCGGAAGGUUAAGGAAGGGGGUUAGGGGGAAACUCCGAAGCUCACGACCGAAGCCCCGGUGAACGGCGGCCGUAACUAUAACGGUCCUAAGGUAGCGAAAUUCCUUGUCGGGUAAGUUCCGACCCGCACGAAAGUGUAACGACUUGGGCACUGUCUCAACGAGGGACCCGGUGAAAUUGAAAUACCUGUGA